AAGUGCGAAUGCUGACAUAAGUAACGAUAAAACGGGUGAAAAACCCGUUCGCCGGAAGACCAAGGGUUCCUGUCCAACGUUAAUCGGGGCAGGGUGAGUCGGCUCCUAAGGCGAGGCUGAAAAGCGUAGUCGAUGGGAAACAGGUUAAUAUUCCUGUACUUGGUAAAGCUGCGAUGUGGGGACGGAGUAGGUUAGGUUAUCGCACUGUUGGAUAUGUGCGUUUAAGUUGGUAGGUGGGAAGUUUAGGCAAAUCCGGGCUUCCUUAACACAGAGAGAUGAUGACGAGGCUCUACGGAGCUGAAGUAACUGAUACCACACUUCCAGGAAAAGCCACUAAGCGAAAGGCUUUACUAAACCGUACUGAAAACCGACACAGGUGGUCAGGUAGAGAAUACUCAGGCGCUUGAGAGAACUCGGGUGAAGGAACUAGGCAAAAUAGCACCGUAACUUCGGGAGAAGGUGCGCCGGCGUAGAUUGUAAGGGCUAGCCCCUGAAGGUUGAACCGGUCGAAGAUACCAGCUGGCUGCAACUGUUUAUUAAAAACACAGCACUCUGCAAACACGAAAGUGGACGUAUAGGGUGUGAUGCCUGCCCGGUGCUGGAAGGUUAAUUGAUGGUGUAAUCGCAAGAGAAGCACCUGAUCGAAGCCCCAGUAAACGGCGGCCGUAACUAUAACGGUCCUAAGGUAGCGAAAUUCCUUGUCGGGUAAGUUCCGACCUGCACGAAUGGCAUAAUGAUGGCCAGGCUGUCUCCACCCGAGACUCAGUGAAAUUGAAAUCGCCGUGAAGAUGCGGUGUACC
rnacentral:rRNA from 1 species